rnacentral:rRNA from 1 species
CAGAUGCUGCAGACCCGAAACGAAGUGAUCUAUCCAUGAGCAGGUUGAAGCUGGUGUAAGAGCCAGUGGAGGACCGAACCCGCAGGCGUUGAAAAGUCUUGGGGAUGACUUGUGGAUAGGGGUGAAAGGCCAAUCAAACUUCGUGAUAGCUGGUUCUCUCCGAAAUAUAUUUAGGUAUAGCCUUGUGUUGUAGCAUAUAGGGGUAGAGCACUGAAUGGGCUAGGGCUGCUUACCGCGGUACCAAACCCUAUCAAACUAUGAAUACUAUAUGUGGAAUCACAGGAGUCAGGCGGUGGGUGAUAAAAUCAAUCGUCGAGAGGGGAACAACCCAGACUAACAGCUAAGGUCCCUAAGUCACAUCUAAGUGGAAAACGAUGUGGAGUUACUGUGACAACCAGGAGGUUGGCUUAGAAGCAGCCAUCCUUUAAAGAAAGCGUAACAGCUCACUGGUCUAGUGAUUCUGCGCGGAAAAAUAUAACGGGGCUAAGAUGUGCACCGAAGCUUUAGAUU